GACGAACGCUGGCGGCGUGCUUAACACAUGCAAGUCGAACGGAAAGGCCCUGCUUUUGUGGGGUGCUCGAGUGGCGAACGGGUGAGUAACACGUGAGUAACCUGCCCUUGACUUUGGGAUAACUUCAGGAAACUGGGGCUAAUACCGGAUAGGAGCUCCUGCUGCAUGGUGGGGGUUGGAAAGUUUCGGCGGUUGGGGAUGGACUCGCGGCUUAUCAGCUUGUUGGUGGGGUAGUGGCUUACCAAGGCUUUGACGGGUAGCCGGCCUGAGAGGGUGACCGGCCACAUUGGGACUGAGAUACGGCCCAGACUCCUACGGGAGGCAGCAGUGGGGAAUAUUGCACAAUGGGCGGAAGCCGGAUGCAGCAACGCCGCGUGCGGGAUGACGGCCUUCGGGCUGUAAACCGCUUUCGCCUGUGACGAAGCGUGAGUGACGGGAAUGGGUAAAGAAGCACCGGCUAACUACGU
rnacentral:rRNA from 1 species